GCCUGACUGGCUCAGUCGGUAGAGCAUAGGACUCUUGAUCUUGGUGUCAGGAGUUCAAGCCCCAUGUGGGGCA
rnacentral:tRNA from 1 species